rnacentral:rRNA from 1 species
UACGUAGGGGGCUAGCGUUGUCCGGAAUCAUUGGGCGUAAAGCGCGCGUAGGCGGCCCAGUAAGUCCGUUGUAAAAGUCAAAGGCUCAACCUUUGAAAGCCGAUGGAUACUGCUGGGCUAGAGUCCGGAAGAGGCGAGUGGAAUUCCUGGUGUAGCGGUGGAAUGCGCAGAUAUCAGGAGGAACACCGAUAGCGAAGGCAGCUCGCUGGGACGGUACUGACGCUGAUGCGCGAAAGCGUGGGGAGCGAUCCGG